rnacentral:rRNA from 1 species
UACGGGGGGAGCAAGCGUUGUUCGGAUUUACUGGGCGUAAAGGGCGCGUAGGCGGUCAGCACAAGUCAGUUGUGAAAUCUCCGGGCUUAACUCGGAAAGGUCAACUGAUACUGUGCGACUAGAGUGCGGAAGGGGCAACUGGAAUUCUCGGUGUAGCGGUGAAAUGCGUAGAUAUCGAGAGGAACACCUAUUGCGAAGGCAGCUCGCUGGGGACGUAACUGACGCUGAGACGCGAAAAGCGUGGGGGAGCAAACAGG